GGUUCAGUGGUAAAGUGGUUAAUACGUCUCCCUGUCACGGAGAAGAACGCGGGUUCGAUCCCCGUCUGAACCGCCA
rnacentral:tRNA from 4 species